GCGGAUGUAGCUCAGUUGGUUAGAGCGCCUGAUUGUGGUCCAGGAGGUCGGCGGUUCAAUUCCGCUCAUUCGCCCCA
rnacentral:tRNA from 1 species